AUUGAACGCUGGCGGCAUGCUUUACACAUGCAAGUCGAACGGCAGCACGGGAGCAAUCCUGGUGGCGAGUGGCGAACGGGUGAGUAAUAUAUCGGAACGUGCCCAGUCGUGGGGGAUAACGUAGCGAAAGCUACGCUAAUACCGCAUACGAUCUAUGGAUGAAAGCGGGGGAUCGCAAGACCUCGCGCGAUUGGAGCGGCCGAUAUCAGAUUAGGUAGUUGGUGAGGUAAAGGCUCACCAAGCCGACGAUCUGUAGCUGGUCUGAGAGGACGACCAGCCACACUGGGACUGAGACACGGCCCAGACUCCUACGGGAGGCAGCAGUGGGGAAUUUUGGACAAUGGGCGCAAGCCUGAUCCAGCAAUGCCGCGUGCAGGAUGAAGGCCUUUGGGUUGUAAACUGCUUUUGUACGGAACGAAACGGCGAGCUCUAAUACAGUUUGCUAAUGACGGUACCGUAAGAAUAAGCACCGGCUAACUACGUGCCAGCCGCCGCAGUAAAAC
rnacentral:rRNA from 1 species